ensembl:lncRNA
UGAGUGAAUGUGGUUGUAAUGUAAGUGAGUGAGUGAAUGUGGCUGUAAUGUAAGUGUGUAGUGAGUGAGUGAGUGAGUGAAUGUGGUUGUAAUGUAAGUGAGUGAGUGAAUGUUUGAAUGUGGUUGUAAUGUAAGUGAGUGAGUGAAUGUGGCUGUAAUGUAAGUGUGUAUUGAGUGAGUGAAUGUGGUUGUAAUGUGAGUGAGUGAGUGAAUGUAGUUGUAAUGUAAGUGAGUGAGUGAAUGUUGUUGCAAUGUAAGUGAUUGAGUGAGUGAGUGAAUGAGUGAAUGUGGUUGUAAUGUAAGUGUGUAUUGAGUGACUGAGUGAAUGAAUGUAGUUGUAAUGUAAGUGUGUAGUGAGUGAGUGAGUGAAUGAAUGUAGUUGUAAUGUAAGUGUGUAGUGAUUGAAUGUGUGAAUGUGGUUGUAAUGUAAGUGAGUGAGUGAAUGUGGUUGUAAUGUGAGUGACUGAGUGAAUGUGGUUGUAAUGUGAGUGUGUAUUUGAGUGAAUGUGGUUGUAAUGUAAAUGUGUAUUGAGUGACUGAGUGAAUGAAUGUGGUUGUAAUGUAAGUGUGUA